UACGGAGGGAGCUAGCGUUGUUCGGAAUUACUGGGCGUAAAGCGCGCGUAGGCGGCUUUGUAAGUUAGAGGUGAAAGCCCGGGGCUCAACCCCGGGAUUGCCUUUAAGACUGCAUCGCUUGAAUCCGGGAGAGGUGAGUGGAAUUCCGAGUGUAGAGGUGAAAUUCGUAGAUAUUCGGAAGAACACCAGUGGCGAAGGCGACUCACUGGACAUGUAUUGACGCUGAGGCGCGAAAGCGUGGGGAGCAAACAGG
rnacentral:rRNA from 1 species